AGUGAACGCUGGCGGUAGGCCUAACACAUGCAAGUCGAACGGCAGCACAGUAAGAGCUUGCUCUUACGGGUGGCGAGUGGCGGACGGGUGAGGAAUACAUCGGAAUCUACUUUUUCGUGGGGGAUAACGUAGGGAAACUUACGCUAAUACCGCAUACGACCUACGGGUGAAAGUAGGGGAUCUUCGGACCUUGCGCGAUUGAAUGAGCCGAUGUCGGAUUAGCUAGUUGGCGGGGUAAAGGCCCACCAAGGCGACGAUCCGUAGCUGGUCUGAGAGGAUGAUCAGCCACACUGGAACUGAGACACGGUCCAGACUCCUACGGGAGGCAGCAGUGGGGAAUAUUGGACAAUGGGCGCAAGCCUGAUCCAGCUAUACCGCGUGGGUGAAGAAGGCCUUCGGGUUGUAAAGCCCUUUUGUUGGGAAAGAAAAGCAGCAGGUUAAUACCCCGCUGUUCUGACGGUACCCAAAGAAUAAGCACCGGCUAACUUCGUG
rnacentral:rRNA from 1 species